rnacentral:rRNA from 1 species
GACGAACGCUGGCGGCGUGCUUAGCACAUGCAAGUCGAGCGAGGCCCCUCCUUCGGGAGGGUGUCCUAGCGGCGAACGGGUGAGUAACACGUGGGCAACCUGCCCUCAGCUCUGGGAUAACUCCGGGAAACCGGGGCUAAUACCGGAUACGACCUCCACGGGCAUCUGCGGAGGUGGAAAGUUUUUCGGCUGAGGAUGGGCCCGCGGCCUAUCAGCUAGUUGGUGGGGUAGUGGCCCACCAAGGCGACGACGGGUAGCCGGCCUGAGAGGGCGACCGGCCACACUGGGACUGAGACACGGCCCAGACUCCUACGGGAGGCAGCAGUGGGGAAUAUUGCGCAAUGGGCGAAAGCCUGACGCAGCGACGCCGCGUGAGGGACGAAGGCCUUCGGGUUGUAAACCUCUUUCAGCAGGGACGAAGCGAAAGUGACGGUACCUGCAGAAGAAGCACCGGCCAACUACGUG